rnacentral:rRNA from 1 species
UACGUGGGUGGCAAGCGUUAUCCGGAUUUAUUGGGCGUAAAGGGAACGCAGGCGGUCCUUUAAGUCUGAUGUGAAAGCCUUCGGCUUAACCGGAGUAGUGCAUUGGAAACUGGGAGACUUGAGUGCAGAAGAGGAGAGUGGAACUCCAUGUGUAGCGGUGAAAUGCGUAGAUAUAUGGAAGAACACCAGUGGCGAAAGCGGCUCUCUGGUCUGUAACUGACGCUGAGGUUCGAAAGCGUGGGUAGCAAACAGG